CAGAAUAAUUCUGAAAACGUACACCGUAUUUUUACCUGUAUAUACUUUAUUUGGGAUCUUUGACUAAGAGAAGGCUGUAGGAACAUAAAAUUCCAAGCCGUGUAGGACCGACUUCUCAAUGUCUGCUUCCCAAUAAAACAAUGAAAAUGUCAGUGGGCGUCUAAUGCUUAUAAAUGGAUUUAUUCAGCUAUGCAAAUUCAAACCGGGACAGUAAUAUCCAUGAGGCCUCCCAGUGGACAUGUUGCUGGCUAGAAUGAGUCAAUACAAUAAGUUAGACAUUUUCUUUUUGUGAUCAUCUGGAUAUCUA